GAUCCUGGCUCAGGAUGAACGCUAGCUACAGGCUUGACACAUGCAAGUCGAGGGGCAGCAUUUUAGUUUGCUUGCAAACUAAAGAUGGCGACCGGCGCACGGGUGAGUAACACGUAUCCAACCUGCCGAUAACUCGGGGAUAGUCUUUCGAAAGAAAGAUUAAUAUCCGAUAGUAUAUUUUCUCCGCAUGGCGAGAAUAUUAAAGAAUUUCGGUUAUCAAUGGGGAUGCGUUCCAUUAGUUUG
rnacentral:rRNA from 1 species